CGUUUUCGACUCCCUCCCGAAAUUUCACUUCCCCCUCCCCAAAUUUCACUUCCCUCCUUCUCCAUUUUCGACUUCCCUCCUUCUCCAUUUUCGGCUUCCGUCUUCAAUUGAAAACCUCACCAAUUAGAGAAAAGAUGUUUCAUUCACUCUCUUUUCAGUUUUUAGUUGUAAUAGAAAAAAAGGAAAGAAACUGGAGCUGAAAACAAAUUCGAUCUGUUUCGAUUCGGUGGAGGCGGCGGUGACUAUUUGAGUCAGUUCAACUCGUAGUGAGGUUACUCGGUGUGAGAUAUACUCUGGGUCGACAAAUUCUGACAAGAAUUUCAAUUCAAGCUAUUGUUUUGUACUCUGGACUUUGGCAAUGGUGUACCUGUGAAAACUUCGGUGGAGCCUAAAGUAUAUGAGGAAGGGCUUCUUGAUGCUAUUCAGCAGGAUUACUUCUCAUCUGCCUCCAUAGAGGUAGUGAAGACAGAUUAUCGAGUUUUGAAUUACCUCUUACGGAAUCAAAGGGGGUUGGGUCUGAAGGAAAGCCACUAGUCAUCAUUGAUGAUUACAUAGGCUGCAGUAAGUAGUUUCAGCAUUUGUUAAGGUGAAAGCUCAAUAUGGGAUUUUUUGAUGGAUUGCCAGUGUCUCGAGACAAGGAAGAUAUGCAGAAAUCAGAUUCUCUGGAUAGCUUAUUUGGCGACAAAGAUGCAAGUGGUGCUCUGGAAGUUUAUGCAACUUGUGGAGGACUACUUCUGAAGAGAAGAGGGAGUUGGAGCGCCUUGAAAAACUAUUAUAUAAUUCAGUUCGUCGAGCUGCAGAAGUUCAUCGCCAGGUACGGAAAUACAUCAGAGGGAUUUUAAAGCCUGGAAUGUUGAUGACUGAUUUGUGUGAGACUUUGGAGAACACAGUCCGUAAGUUAAUAUCCGAGAAUGGCCUGGAAGCAGGCAUUGCAUUCCCCACAGGAUGCUCUUUGAAUUGGUAAUCUUUUUUCAGGCUUAGUUUUCAGGCUGUGUGUCUCCUAGGCUAAUGUCACUAGUGCUUUCUUGUUCCUGUUUGUUUUGCUGAUGUUUUCCCCUUUAGUCUUUCCUGUUUGUUCCUGUUCCUAUGUGGGCAUCCAGUAAGAUUACCUUCAGUCUUUCCUAUUUCUGUGCUUCUUUUUUAGUAACAUCUAUUUUUGAUAAUGUCAAAACCUUAGAACCUAUUUCAUUGUUACCAUACGUACAUACGUUAAGUGAGGAAGUGGCGCUAGUGGGUUCCACAACCCAACCACUAUUGAUUGAAGGGGAUUUUGAGCUUUUAGAUUUUUUGCAGCCUUUUGUGCCCAAGACCACCUAGAAAGCAUUGAAUAAACAGUAAGUACAGUGCAUAAAAAUAGAAAGGGAGCCAAGAAAAAUGAAACAACGUCAAUACUUUGGUGUUAACAUUCUCAAAAUUUGAGCAACAGGGAUUAGGCAGACCAUAGAAGGGACCCUGGAAUGCCCUCUGCCAAAAAAAAAAAAACCAAAGGGGCUGUGUAUAGGAAAUGAA